GCAGCGAUGUCCGAGUGGUUAAGGAGAUUGACUACAAAUCAAUUGGGUUCUCCCCGCG
rnacentral:tRNA from 1 species